ACGCGUUCUCAGGGCGGGGUGAAAUUCCCCACCGGCGGUAGCGAGGCGAAGCCUCGAAGCCCGCGAGCGCCUUGGAGCUCAAGCUCCAGGGGUCAGCAGAUCCGGUCAGAUUCCGGAGCCGACGGUCACAGUCCGGAUGGAAGAGAGCAAGC
rnacentral:ncRNA from 2 species